rnacentral:rRNA from 1 species
AACGAACGCUGGCGGCAGGCUUAACACAUGCAAGUCGAACGCAUCCUUCGGGGUGAGUGGCAGACGGGUGAGUAACGCGUGGGAACGUGCCCUUCAGUUCGGGAUAACCCAGGGAAACUUGGGCUAAUACCGGAUACGUGCGAGAGCAGAAAGAUUUAUCGCUGAAGGAUCGGCCCGCGUCUGAUUAGCUAGUUGGUGGGGUAAUGGCCCACCAAGGCGACGAUCAGUAGCUGGUCUGAGAGGAUGAUCAGCCACAUUGGGACUGAGACACGGCCCAAACUCCUACGGGAGGCAACAGUGGGGAAUAUUGGACAAUGGGCGCAAGCCUGAUCCAGCCAUGCCGCGUGAGUGAUGAAGGCCUUAGGGUUGUAAAGCUCUUUCAGCACCGACGAAGCGCAAGUGACGGUAGGUGCAGAAGAAGGACCGGCCAACUACGUGCCAGCCGCCGCGGUAA